GUGAAGCGGCAACAGCUCAAAUUUGAAAUCUGGCUCUUUUAGAGUCCGAGUUGUAAUUUGCAGAGGGCGCUUUGGCUUUGGCAGCGGUCCAAGUUCCUUGGAACAGGACGUCACAGAGGGUGAGAAUCCCGUACGUGGUCGCUGGCUAUUGCCGUGUAAAGCCCCUUCGACGAGUCGAGUUGUUUGGGAAUGCAGCUCUAAAUGGGAGGUACAUUUCUUCUAAAGCUAAAUAUUGGCCAGAGACCGAUAGCGCACAAGUAGAGUGAUCGAAAGAUGAAAAGCACUUUGGAAAGAGAGUCAAACAGCACGUGAAAUUGUUGAAAGGGAAGCGCUUGCAGCCAGACUUGCUUGCAGUUGCUCAUCCGGGCUUUUGCCCGGUGCACUCUUCUGUAGGCAGGCCAGCAUCAGUUUGGGCGGUGGGAUAAAGGUCUCUGUCACGUACCUCUCUUCGGGGAGGCCUUAUAGGGGAGACGACAUACCACCAGCCUGGACUGAGGUCCGCGCAUCUGCUAGGAUGCUGGCGUAAUGGCUGUAAGCGGCCCGUCUUGAAACACGGACCAAGGAGUCUAACAUCUAUGCGAGUGUUUGGGUGUCAAGCCCGAGCGCGUAAUGAAAGUGAACGGAGGUAGGAACCCGUAAGGGUGCACUAUCGACCGAUCCUGAUGUCUUCGGAAGGAUUUGAGUAAGAGCAUGGCUGUUGGGACCCGAAAGAUGGUGAACUAUGCUUGAAUAGGGUGAAGCCAGAGGAAACUCUGGUGGAGGCUCGCAGCGGUUCUGACGUGCAAAUCGAUCGUCAAAUUUGGGCAUAGGGGCGAAAGACUAAU
rnacentral:rRNA from 1 species